AUGUCCCGCCUGCUGCCGCUCAGGGUGCCCCACCACCAGCCAAGCAGUCCGACCGCAAGAAGAAGCGGACUGCCUAACAUCCCCCACGGGGAGAUCGGAGCCGGACCAGCCCGAGCUCCAAGUUCACUCCAGGGCUCAGUUCCGGAGCCCGUUCGGAGAAGUGUGUCCUGCCUCCUCCUUUCAGCGCCUGGGACUCGAGUUGGAUCCCACAGAGCGCAUUUCAACAAAGAGACGACGAGACACUGUUCAGCGCAGUCAAGCGAGUCACAGUCUCAUAAAAACAUUCUGUUUAUUAAAAACUCACCCGUUGCAUCCAGGCAUGUUGCCAAGGGCACGGGAAAAGUGUGUGAAAAACACAGAAAGUAUGUUGAAAAACAUAAUGCCCCCACGCACCCAGACACCACCGGGGUUGAUUUCCUCAGUGGUGUCCGGACCCAUGAGCGCUGGUCAGGCGCGAGCCGCCCGCGCAUGCGCAGUCGGAUCUGGCCCGAAGGACCAGUUUCCGCCACAAGAGGGAGCCAGAGCUCCGUCUACUGUGGAGUGCCUGUCAUUGGGACCGCUGUCGGCGAGAAUAGAGCGAUGGCGAGCUCUCGCUGCACCAGAAUGGGUUGUGAGGACAUUAGAACGAGGCUAUCGUUUGCAAUUCGCAAACACCCCUCCCAGAUUUCACAGAGUGAUUUUCUCUCUUGCAAGGGGCGAAUCAGCCAGGAUCCUGCAAGAAGAAAUAACUACUUUGCUGUCAAAGGGAGCAGUACGAGAAAUACCCCAGGAGCAGAGCCAGUGCGGCUUUUACUCAAAGUAUUUUCUCGUGCCCAAGAAAGGAGGGGGACUGCGUCCGAUACUGGACCUACGGGCUCUGAAUCAGCAUCUGAGGUCAUACAAAUUCAGGAUGCUGACGCCCACCACUCUGCUGCAUGUAGUGCGCCCAGGCGAUUGGUUUACAUCAAUAGACCUGAAGGACGCAUAUUUUCACAUUCCUAUUUACCCGCCUCACAGGAAAUUCCUGCGCUUUGCGUUUCAGGGCAGAAUGUACGAGUACCAGGUCCUGCCGUUUGGUCUCUCACUGAGCCCUCGGGUAUUUGUGAAAUGCACAGAGGCAGCCAUAGCCCCACUGAAGAGGCGGGGCAUCCGCAUAGCAUCAUACAUAGACGAUUGGCUGCUGCUAUCAGAGUCAGAAAUAAUGGGAAGAGAGCACACCAGGUUGACAGUGGAUCAUCUGAUGGCUCUGGGUUUCACCAUAAACUACGAAAAGAGUGUCCUGCAGCCAGCUCAGGCCAUCUCUUUCAUAGGAAUAGCCCUCAACUCCCAAACGUACAGAGCGUGUCUCUCUGUGGACAGAGCACAGAAAAUGCUAUCACAUGCCGGCAUUUUUCAGUUGGGAAGAUAUCUCCCAUUCAGGAAAUGCCUGCAGAUGCUGGGAUUGAUGGCGUCCUCACUGGCGGUCAUUCCACUGGGCAGACUGCAUAUGAGGGAAUUUCAGCGAUGGGUCGCAUCUCUGAGACUGAAUCAAAAGCGCCAUACCCACCGCCAUAUCAGAGUGACAGCAGACUGUGCUGCAGCACUCCGCUGUUGGAGAAAUCCCACAUUUCUCACUCAGGGGGUGUCACUGGGGGCUGUCACAGCCAGAAAGGUGGUAACCACGGACGCGAGUCUCACGGGCUGGGGCGCCACUCACGAGGGCAGAGCAGUGAGCGGCAGCUGGGACUCACAACAGAGGGGUGCUCACAUAAAUUGGCUAGAAUUGCUAGCAGCAUUUCUAGCACUGAGACACUUCCUUCCCCUGUUGAGGAACCACCAUGUUCUGAUCAGAACAGACAACACCACUGUUGUGGCGUACAUCAACAGACAGGGCGGGUUACGUUCCCGUCCGUUGCACAUGCUGGCUCGCAGACUGAUCAUGUGGAGCAGCAUCAAUUUGUUGUCACUGAGAGCUACUCACAUUCCAGGAGCUCUGAACUUGGGAGCGGACUUAAUGUCCAGGGGAAACCCGCAAUACGGGGACUGGACCCUGCACCCACAUGUGGUGACCGAAAUCUGGACCCGCUUUGGCCAGCCACAGGUCGAUCUGUUUGCCUCGAGGGAGAACGCUCAGUGUCCACUGUAUUUCUCCCUGAGGGACCAGGAAGCUCCGCUGGGGGUAGACGCAUUAGCUCACAACUGGCCACAUGCUCUGCUUUAUGCGUUCCCUCCGCUGGCCUUAAUUUCUCCCACUCUAACCAGAGUGAGAGAAAAAGGGCUAACAGUGAUAUUGAUCGCCCCAAGGUGGACGAGGUCCCAUUGGUUGGCGGAAAUUAUGCCCCUCUUGUGGGACGAACCGUGGCCUCUCCCUCUCCGACGAGACCUAGUCUCCCAAGCCAGGGGGAGAUUUUUCACCCUCAUCCCGAGCGCCUCGCCCUGUGGGCUUGGCCCGUGAGAGGCUGA
rnacentral:lncRNA from 1 species